rnacentral:rRNA from 1 species
GAUCAUGGCUCAGGAUGAACGCUGGCGGCGUGCUUAACACAUGCAAGUCGAACGAAGCACUUCAUAAAGCUUGCUUUAAGAAGUGACUUAGUGGCGGACGGGUGAGUAACGCGUGGGUAACCUGCCUUACACAGGGGGAUAACAGUUAGAAAUGACUGCUAAUACCGCAUAAAACAGCAGAGUCGCAUGACUCAACUGUCAAAGAUUUAUCGGUGUAAAGAUGGGACCCCGCGU